rnacentral:rRNA from 1 species
GAUGAACGCUGGCGGCGUGCCUAAUACAUGCAAGUCGAGCGAAUGGAUUAAGAGCUUGCUCUUAUGAAGUUAGCGGCGGACGGGUGAGUAACACGUGGGUAACCUGACCAUAAGACUGGGAUAACUCCGGGAAACCGGGGCUAAUACCGGAUAACAUUUUGAACCGCAUGGUUCGAAAUUGAAAGGCGGCUUCGGCUGUCACUUAUGGAUGGACCCGCGUCGCAUUAGCUAGUCGGUGAGGUAACGGCUCACCGAGGCAACGAUGCGUAGCCGACCUGCGAGGGGGGUGGGCCACACUCAGAGUAAGACACGUCCCAGAAUCCUACGGGAGGCAGCAGUAGGGAUUCUUCCGCAAUGGACGAAAGUCUGACGGAGCAACGCCGCGUGAGUGAUGAAGGCGUUCGGGUCGUAAAACUCUGUUGUUAGGGAAGAACAAGUGCUAGUUGAAUAAGCUGGCACCUUGACGGUACCUAACCAGAAAGCCACGGCUAACUACGUGCCAGCCGCCGCAGUAA